rnacentral:rRNA from 1 species
GAUGAACGCUAGCGGCAGGCUUAACACAUGCAAGUCGAGGGGUAUGCCGAUUUAUCGGCAGAGACCGGCGCACGGGUGCGUAACGCGUAUGCAAUCUACCUUUCACAGAGGGAUAGCCCAGAGAAAUUUGGAUUAAUACCUCAUAGUAUAGCAAUUUCGCAUGAAACCACUAUUAAAAGUUCCAACGGUGAAAGAUGAGCAUGCGUCCCAUUAGCUAGAUGGUAAGGUAACGGCUUACCAUGGCUACGAUGGUAGGGGUCCUGAGAGGGAGAUCCCCCCANACUGGUACUGAGACACGGACCAGACUCCUACGGGAGGCAGCAGUGGGGAAUAUU